rnacentral:rRNA from 1 species
AUUGAACGCUGGCGGCAGGCCUAACACAUGCAAGUCGAGCGAGCGGCGGACGGGUGAGUAAUGUAUGGGGACUGCCCGAUAGAGGGGGAGAACUACAGGGAACGGUAGCUAAUACCGCAUACUAUCGCAUACACCCUAUGGGAUUAGCUAGUAGGUGAGGUAAUGGGUCACCUAGGCGACGAUCCCUAGCUGGGCUGAGAGGAUGAUCAGCCACACUGGGACUGAGACACGGCCCAGACGCCGACGGAGGCAGCAGUGGGGAAUAUUGCACAAUGGGCGCAAGCCUGAUGCAGCCAUGCCGCGUGUAUGAAGAAGGCCUUAGGGUUGUAAAGUACUUUCAGUCGGGAGGCGUUACCGACAGAAGAAGCACCGGCUAACUCCGUGCCAGCAGCCGCGGUAAUAC